AUAGUUGUUUCAACACGUUUCUUUUUUAAGUUCUUCAAAAAAUAUUUUUAUCCGCUUCCACAUGACACUUUUACCAGUUUUUGUAAUACCAACAUCUUCCUAAUACCAUCCAAAUCUUGUCCAAUCCCCCGCCGUGGGUACGCGCCAUCGAAGAAGGAUAUCCAAUCCUAUCCAAUCCAAUACAAGAAUUCCACAAGAGCUGAAAAGAGCCCCGUUGGCGGUGUGGUCAAGUAUCGGGGGCCGUUGUCUUCCAACCUGAGGUGUGUUAUCAGCUCGGUAAUGACUUCUACGGGCUUGGAAGAGGAUUCCGCCAGUCGCUCGUCAAGGUGUCGCUUCGAUACAGAUGUGUGCGAGUUUGGGCACGCUCGCCUGGAGGGCCAUGGAGUAGAUGAAGAUGGGCAUCCGUAUCAAAAAGAAAAAGAUGACAGGGUCGCGCUUCAACCUUCCGUGCAUCGGGAAACACGGCCAACUGAAGGUACCACCGGCCUCGAUGCAGA